rnacentral:RNase_P_RNA from 1 species
GGAAGACUAUCUAACGACGCUGUGAAAACAGUGAGGAAAGUCCGUCCACCAUUAUCGGUUGCUUUGCGAAAGCAAAGAUCGAGAAAUCGAUGGCAACCGCUCAGAAACGAAACGGCCUUUCUUGAGCUAUGAGCAUUGCGAAAGAUCCCGCGAGGGAAAUGAGAUAACCAUGCGAGCCUUGAAAGAAAGGAGACGAUGAAACGGCGAGCCCCAAUUGGUGCAAGUCUAAUUUAGACGCUAAGUUGAAUGUUAGAACAGAAGAAUACUCUUUAAUGAGUAAUUCUGACAGAAGAUGGCUUAUUGGCUUCC